GCUGGCGUUAUACAGCCCCCAGCCAUCGCCUGGAGGGCAUCCAGUGUCUGUUAUCACUCACCUUAGGUAGUCUGUGAAGGUCCAGUCAUCACUGGUGCACGUGUAUCUUACCUGUGAUCAACACCGGCAGCCACAGACUCCUGCCUAAUGAACGAACACAGCUUCCUUUCUUAUAGGGGAGGCGGUGGCUGAGUCGUCAAAGUAAUGGCCUCGUGUUCAGGAGGACGCGAGUUCAAUCCCCACCCGGUGCCACCAAGCUGGGAUUUUUCAGCCGCCGCCGAGUGGCUUAAAACUACCCACAUGCUGUCCAGAAGACCACCUAUCAACCCGGACUCUAGAUUCUAGGAUCAAAGAUGAGCUCUGGGAGGGCAGCAUGAGCCAAUGCAAGAUGGCGCCACUAUAAACACUCGCCUGCGCCAGAACGGGCUGGGCCGACCAUCAGGACCUACCGGAAAGAAGCCUUGGACCGACCAUCAGGAUCCACCGGAAGAAGCCUACCGGCGCAAUAGGCUGCAAUUGAUCAUGAUGACAUUGACAACAACGAGCAAGUCCUCCUAGACCUAGAGUGACCUCAAGCUGGGCCAAACAUGAUGUGGAAGAAGAAAUCAGUUGUCUCCAUCAGUCGGGUUUGUGCCAUGGCAGCUCUCUCCAGCUGUCCGGCAGAGGUCCAGUCCAUGCCGUGGAGAAAUUCAGACCCCAACAAGGAGAUGGCAUGCCAGAGAUGGAUCCGCAGCUUCUCCUCCAAUCAAUCAAUCCUUGCAAUGCCCUUUCUCUUUUCUCUCCUUCUGUACCACCAUGCGUACACAUAACUGAUCUAAGGUACUUAAACUCAUUAACCUCCUCCAUUUCUUCACCAUUCAAAAUUAUUUUGCAUUCUUUUUCACAUUCAAUGCCCACUCUAUAUGGGCAUACAGAAUCUACAACCUCCCUUCUACUCCGCUCACAAACCAUCACUUUACUUUUGUUGACAUUUACUUUCAACUUCCUCCUUUUACAUACACUAUCAAAAACACUGACCAAAUUUUGUAAGUCACUUUCAUUUUCUGCAAUGAGCAGUGUCAUCAGCAAAUAAGAUUGAAUUCAUCACCCACUUCCUUCCCUCCCUCAGCAUACAUUUUUACUUCAAUUUCCCCAACUUUGCCCUUCAUUUCUCAUAACACCAUCCAUAUAAAUAUUGAACAACCACGAUGACAUGACACACCCCUGCUUUAGCCCACUUUCAUCUCAAAAUGUUCCCUUGUUUCUCCACUAAUUUUGACAUAUGCAGAUGCAUCCUCAUAGAAAGACUUUAUUGCAUAAAGCAGUUUUCCUCCCACACCAUAUAUCUUUAAGACAUCCCACAAUGCCAGCCAAUCGACUCUGUCAUAAACUUUCUCUAGAAUAACUAGAUCCAUGAAGGCAGCAUAGUAUUUUUUCCUUUUGCUAAUAUUUUUUCUAAUAAAACACCAUCCUGAAGGAAAAUAUCUGAUCCACACAUCCUCUUCCCUUCCUGAAGUCUCCUUGUUCUUCACUGAUUUUCUCUUCUGUAAGUCUUUGCGCAGUCUCAAUUAGGACUUUUUCAAAAACCUUUCCAGGUAACCUACACUCAGCAGACAUAUACCCCUACAACUCCCACCUCCCUGCUCCUGCCCUUCCCCUUGUAAACUGGGACCAUGAUGGCUUUUAUCAAGUCUGCUGGGACCUCCCCCCCCUUCCCUGGCCACUUCACAUAUCUUGACCAUUCAUCAGAGCUGGGACUACCGAUUGACAUUUGGGAUCGGUACUACCGGCGGUAGAUUACUGCUACCGAUACCGAUCAUUCGGUAUUUUGAAGAAACUACCGAAUACCGCUACCGAUCGCAUGAUUGGCAGUCAAUCGGUAUCGGUAGAUUGAAAAGCGAAGGGACUUUUUGUUAAGACUUAAGAGAAGACGACCCCGGCAAAAUGAAACGGACAAGUUUCAACACGUUCGAGCGCAUCUAUGGGAAGCAGUUAGCAGGAAAUUCCAGGUAUUACUUUGACGUCAUCACGCUUAGCCAAUCACCGGCCGUUCAUGCGUUCUCAGCCAAUCAGAGGCAGCCACGACCUAGCAGAUUCUCGCUCCCGCCAAAA